GGCAGUAGUAGUAUAUAUAUCCUUGUGUUUCUGCCUAAACGUGCUGUGUAGGAAUAGAGGACAGGAGGUUUAGUAAUGGGCAGUAGUAUAUAUAUCCUUGUGUUUCUGCCUAAACGUGCUGUGUAGGAAUAGAGGACAGGAGGUUUAGUAAUGGGCAGUUAUAGAGGACAGGAGGUUUAGUAAUGGGCAGUAGUAUAUAUAUCCUUGUGUUUCUGCCUAAACGUGCUGUGUAGGAAUAGAGGACAGGAGGUUAUGGAGGACAGGAGGUUUAGUAAUGGGCAGUAGUAUAUAUAUCCUUGUGUUUCUGCCUAAACGUGCUGUGUAGGAAUAGAGGACAGGAGGUUUAGUAAUGGGCAGUAGUAUAUAUAUCCUUGUGUUUCUGCCUAAACGUGCUGUGUAGGAAUAGAGGACAGGAGGUUUAGUAAUGGGCAGUAGUAUAUAUAUAUCCUUGUGUUUCUGCCUAAACGUGCUGUGUAGGAAUAGAGGACAGGAGGUUUAGUAAUGGGCAGUAUUAUAUAUAUCCUUGUGUUUCUGCCUAAACGUGCUGUGUAGGAAUAGAGGACAGGAGGUUUAGUAAUGGGCAGUAGUAUAUAUAUCCUAGGUUUAGUAAUAAACGUGCUGUGUAGGAAUAGAGGACAGGAGGUUUAGUAAUGGGCAGUAGUAUAUAUAUCCUAGGUUUAGUAAUAAACGUGCUGUGUAGGAAUAGAGGACAGGAGGUUUAGUAAUGGGCAGUAGUAUAUAUAUAUCCUAGGUUAGUAAUAAACGUGCUGUGUAGGAAUAGAGCACAGGAGGUUAUGGAGGACAGGAGGUUUAGUAAUGGGCAGUAGUAUAUAUAUAUCCUAGGUUAGUAAUAAACGUGCUGUGUAGGAAUAGAGCACAGGAGGUUAUGGAGGACAGGAGGUUUAGUAAUGGGCAGUAGUAUAUAUAUAUCCUAGGUUAGUAAUAAACGUGCUGUGUAGGAAUAGAGCACAGGAGGUUAUGGAGGACAGGAGGUUUAGUAAUGGGCAGUAGUAUAUAUAUAUCCUAGGUUUAGUAAUAAACGUGCUGUGUAGGAAUAGAGCACAGGAGGUUAUGGAGGACAGGAGGUUUAGUAAUGGGCAGUAGUAUA